rnacentral:rRNA from 1 species
AUUGAACGCUAGCGGGAUGCUUUACACAUGCAAGUCGAACGAGUGGCGGACGGGUGCGUAAUAUAUCGGAACGUGCCCAGGAGCGGGGGAUAACUACUAGAAAGAAUGGCUAAUACCGCAAACGAUUGUAGCGGCCGAUAUCGGAUUGGCUAGUUGGUGGGGUAAAGGCUCCCCAAGGCAACGAUCCGUAGCUGGUUUGAGAGGACGACCAGCAAAACUGGGGCGUAGACACGGCCCAGACUCCUACGUGAGGCAGCAGUGGGGAAUUUUGGACAAUGGGGGAAACCCUGAUGCAGCCAUCCCGCGUGUAUGAGAAGGCCUUCGGGUUGUAAAGUACUUUUGGCAGAGAAGCGGUAUCUGCAGAAUAAGCACCGGCUAACUACGUGCCAGCAGCCGCGGUAAUAC